rnacentral:rRNA from 1 species
AUGCCGCCGUCCCCCGCCGCGUCCGCCCCGGCGAGCCGCCACCUGCGACUCUGGUGGCGCCGCCGCGGCCGGGCCGGCGCCGUCGCGGCCACCUUCGCCGCGGCACUCCUCGCCGCGGCCCUCCUCCUCUCGCUCUCCUACUUCGCCUCCCUGCCCCUCGCGCCCGCCUCCUCCUCCGCCCUCGUCGGCCUCACCCUCCUCCGCCGCGCCGAGGAGAAGGGCGCGCUGUGCUUGGAUGGGAGCGCGCCGGGGUACCAUCUGCAGCGAGGGUCAGGGAGUGGCUCUCAGAGCUGGCUCAUCCACUUGGAGGGUGGAGGCUGGUGCCGAAAUUUGAAAUCAUGCGCUUCACGCCAGAAAUCGAUGUUGGGUUCUUCCCAUUACAUGGAACAUCAGGUUGAGUUUGCUGGGAUGUUGAGCGAUGAUGAAGAUCAGAAUCCAGAUUUUCACAACUGGAAUAAAGUGAAGAUAAGGUAUUGUGAUGGAGCAUCAUUUUCUGGGAACGUUAAAGACGAGUUGCAGAACGGCACAAAAUUCUUUUUCAGAGGCCAGCGUAUCUGGGAAGCAGUUAUGGAUGAACUUCUAAUGAAGGGGCUCAGACAUGCUAAACAGGCUUUUCUAACAGGAUGCUCUGCUGGUGGGUUAGCCACUUACAUUCACUGUGAUGGUUUUCGGGCACUGCUGCCAAAAGAUUCUAGGGUUAAGUGUCUUGCGGAUGGUGGUUUUUUCCUUGAUGUAGAAGACAUUUCCAAGCAAAGGACCUUGCGGGCUUUCUACAGUGACGUUGUCCGCCUUCAGGAUCUUAAGAGGAAGUUUUUGCACUGCAGUUCAAGCAUGGAUCCAGGCCAGUGCUUCUUUCCUCGUGAGGUUGUUAAAGACAUCAGAACACCAGUAUUUAUUCUUAAUCCAGCAUAUGAUGCCUGGCAGGUACAACAUGUGUUGGCACCAGAAGCAUCAGAUCCCCAACAUUCAUGGCAAGACUGUAGAUUGGAUAUUAGCAAGUGCAGUCCUGACCAACUUGAAAUACUCCAAGGUUUUAGGGAAGAACUGCAUGACGCGAUGAGAGAAAUCAAGCAGAAAAAGGACUGGGGUAUUUUCAUUGACUCCUGCUUUAUACACUGUCAGACGUUGAACUCUUUGACUUGGCACUCUCCAUCUUCUCCUAGAGUCAACAACAAGACCAUGGCAGAAGCAGUUGGAGACUGGUUCUUUGACAGGAGAGAGGUGAAGGAACUAGAUUGCGAAUAUCCGUGCAACCCAACGUGCCACAACUUGGUUUUUUCCAAGCCCUUCAAGGGAUAA